AAAAUUAACUUAUGCUGGGAAAAAGAAAAAAGGUUUCCAGUAGCUCAGCAUGUCGGCUUCUCUGUCAAAGGUGAGGUGAAACCUCUUCGAAUAGUGCCACAACAGCAGCAGCACUGCAUCUCUGUGGUGUUCACACACUUUAUAACCCUCAAACAGAAAAUGAAAGCCAAUGAUGAGGCAUGGAACUCAAAGGGACUUCCCUGAUUAACUGAAGAAGGAAACUACACUCAUCCCCAGGCCGUAUGCUGAGAGAUAUUAUCAGCAGUCGACCUGCUCCACAGCUUUACCAGAUCAGCAUCAGAUCAUCUGUGGAGGCUUCAGGGACCGAGUGGGAGCGAGGAGUGAGGGGACUGACAGUACACUAAAACUGCCUGAGGACAAAAAUCUGCAUAUUGUUGUACUUCAAAACAACAUUAAACCUGAACAGCAGCAUCGACACUUCACAGAGAACAUUAUCAACAAGUCUGCAGACGUUCAUUCAUUUCCUUUAGAGCCGACUGACAGUUUGACAGCCUGACCACUUGGCAGCUGAGAACAUUUGGCUGGUGUUAAACUCUUUACCAUCGCUGGCUGUCAACGAGCACUCACAUCUCUGCACCUUCGUGUUUUCAGACCUGCUUCAUAGACAACUGUUGUGUCUGGCAAAGCUCACGGCUUUUAACUUAAAGAUAUCAGUUUUAAGUCUCUAACAACUGCUGCAUUAACUGCAUUUUUAUAUUUCUAACACUUGCCUCUGUUACCACGAGCUGAGUAAUAAUGUGAACUCAUCAAACCCAUGCAAUGUUCUGACAGGAAAUGACAAAGCCAAAUAAACAAUAUCACACCCUGACCUCAGAGUGACAUAAGAACAACCAUGAUAUAAAUAAGAAACUGUGAAUAAUUAUGUUGAUAUAAAUACCGAGUUCAAGAUUAUAACAACAUUUUAUUUUAAGAAGAAAAGUGAGGAGGUUUUGUUUGACAUUAUACUUCACCAAGAAGUAUUUAAAGGCCCCACACUUUGGAUAAGGUUAAGGAAAUUUAAUGGCUUUGGUUAAUUAUUAAUUAAUCUAUCAUGUCUCAUACACUGCAGUCUUUUUUCACUAUUAAAGUAAUCCCACUAUUCUUGUCCAAGAACGGCUGCAGGUGCCAAAACAUCCCAUAAAAACACUGCUUUAGUCACUACAAGCUACGGCUGCCCCCAAAUAGUCGACCAAACGUUAGUCGACCAGAAAGGUCAUUAGUUGGCAAGAUUUCAUUGGCUUAGUCGCAGAAAAAAACUCCAUUAGGAGCUGCACCUUGUCAAAAUAAAUCCAAACCUAUAUGACUGGACCAUGUGUGACUUUACUUUACUUUCAGGUUAAUUUCCAGGGCUGGUACCUGCGGUUAUUCCACAGGCUAGUUAAUAACAUGUCGGGCAGGAAAUCCAAAGUGUGGGAUCAUUUUGAGAAGGUGAAGGACGAACCCAAGGUGAUAUGUAAACUCAUCUUCAUUGGUCGACUACAAACAUGACGUAUCAUCUGAAACAUGGAAGUAGCUACAUGCCCAUUAGCCCACAGCGUCAUUAACAGGCGGCUCGCUCAGUGUGUGACGUGCACUUGUAGAUAAAAUAUAGGCCAACCCAUUAAACCACAGCAGAAGAAGAGGCUACAACAAGAUGGUGUAAUUAAAGAGCUCCAGUCUAACAUCAAAUCAAUGGAUGGAAACACGACAUUUCUGGUUCAUGUGUUUUCACAGUCUCCUUGUCGCUUCGCACAGAUCUAAUGUUUUUGGCUCUUCAGUCGAUGUUUAAGUCACAUGCUUCAUGUACGUCAUGACAUAUUUGCCAAGCCUGUUUCCAGUGCACUUUGUCACAUUUUGCCUUUAUUGAUACAUCAGGCCUACUUUUUUUUUUGCUAUAAUAACUGUUUGUUCUUUUUCUCUUAUUUUCAGUGUUUUCACUCAUUUAUUUUCAUAAGCAGGUGGAUGGAAGCACACCUGUAGUAUCUAUACCUGUGUGGGUCCGCAGAACCUUUAACAUGCAAUUUCAGAUAUAAUGUCCUAUGUAUUAAACGAGAGCUCCUGUGAUUUAGUACGUUUUAGAAUAGAUUUUAAGAUUUUUACUGAUUACUUUAAAGGCUCUUCAUGGUCUC